UAUGAACCUGGUUUAUAACUUAUUCGAUUAAUUUACAACCUACUAUUAAAUCCUAAAUUUAUUAGCUUUAAGUUACUGCAUUUCAGUCUCCCUUGGUUGGGCUGCAUGUUAUUUGGGAAAAAUUUAAAUGUUAAUUUAUUUUUUAACAACCACACACAAACAUUAACCAAGUAAACAAAAUUGAGGAUUAUCAAAUUAAGCACCAAAAUUCUCUAAAAAGAAUAAACCACUGCCAUGUAGUUUAGGUUUAUUUUACUACCUAAAAUUAUUUCAUACCUGGAUUCUACCCCAGUUUUGUAGCUUGAUUUUAAUAUUUUAACCCUUUUUCCCAUAUUCUUAAAACUGAAAAAGAAAGAAAGUUUAAAAUUAUCCAUUAAAUAAAAUUUAAUUUAAAAGUA
rnacentral:rRNA from 1 species